rnacentral:misc_RNA from 1 species
GAAAUGCGAUAAGUAGUGUGAAUUGCAGAAUUCAGUGAAUCAUCGAAUCUUUGAACGCACAUUGCGCCCCUUGGUAUUCCAUGGGGCAUGCCUGUUCGAGCGUCAUUUGUACCCUCAAGCUCUGCUUGGUGUUGGGUGUUUGUCCCCGUCUCCGCGCGUGGACUCGCCCCAAAAUGAUUGGCAGCCGGCGUACUGGUCCCGGAGCGCAGCACAUGUCGCGCAAACGAGUGCCUUGGUACGGCGGCGUCCAUAAGCCCCUCUCUCACGCUCUUGACCUCGGAUCAGGUAGGGAUACCCGCUGAACUUAAGC